rnacentral:rRNA from 1 species
AUUGAACGCUGGCGGCAGGCCUAACACAUGCAAGUCGAACGAGUGGCGGAUGGGUGAGUAAUGUCUGGGAAACUGCCUGAUGGAGGGGGAUAACUACUGGAAACGGUAGCUAAUACCGCAUACCAUCGGAUGUGCCCAGAUGGGAUUAGUUAGUAGGUGGGGUAAAGGCCCACCUAGGCGACGAUUCCUAGCUGGUCUGAGAGGAUGACCAGUCACACUGUAACUGAGACACGGUCCCAAGUCCUAAGGUAGGCAGCAGUGGGGAAUAUUGCACAAUGGGCGCAAACCAAAUGCAGCCAUUCCGCGUGUAUGAAGAAGGCCUUCGGGUUGUAAAGUACUUUCAGCGGGGAGGCGUUACCCGCAGAAGAAGCACCGGCUAACUCCGUGCCAGCAGCCGCGGUAAUAC